rnacentral:rRNA from 1 species
GAUGAACGCUGGCGGCGUGCUUAACACAUGCAAGUCGAACGGUGAACGAGGGAGCUUGCUCCCUCCGGAUCAGUGGCGAACGGGUGAGUAACACGUGAGCAAUCUGCCCCGAACUCUGGGAUAAGCGUUGGAAACGACGUCUAAUACCGGAUACGACGCGCGAAGGCAUCUUCUGCGCGUGGAAAGAAUUUCGGUUCGGGAUGAGCUCGCGGCCUAUCAGCUAGUUGGUGAGGUAACGGCUCACCAAGGCGACGACGGGUAGCCGGCCUGAGAGGGUGACCGGCCACACUGGGACUGAGACACGGCCCAGACUCCUACGGGAGGCAGCAGUGGGGAAUAUUGCACAAUGGGCGAAAGCCUGAUGCAGCAACGCCGCGUGAGGGACGACGGCCUUCGGGUUGUAAACCUCUUUUAGCAGGGAAGAAGCGAAAGUGACGGUACCUGCAGAAAAAGCACCGGCUAACUACGUGCCAGCAGCCGCGGUAACAC